CAAACGUUGCCAGGAAAGAUAAACUUUUUCGCAAUUACAUCUGAUGCCAUACAUCAAAAAUUUCUAAACAAAAAAACCCUACCUAUGGGUCAGUUCGUGAAGUAACUUUUGCUACUUCAAUCUGAUGAGGUGAAUUUGAAAGUUAAGGCGGCGGUGGAGAUUCGACAGCUUACUAAGAUCUUGCAGCGCUACCGCCGUCAUUUCUCCGGUGCCAUGAAGCUGCUUGUCGACGUGCUCCUUUGCGACUCUAUUGAAGCCAAAUAGGCGACACUUGCUGCUCUUCUUAACCUCGCAGUCAAGGAUGAAACGUAAGGAAAAGUCUAUCUAUUAUAUUAUAUGCCUUCCAUGUAUAUUCGUAGGUAGAUUUCACUUGUAGACUCAAAUUGAGGUGAGCAUUGGGGUUUAGAGCUAGAGUCUUUGAAUUUAAAUCCGUUAAAUAGUUUGAUUAUUGAUUUCACCCCCAAAUUUAAUAAUCUGGAGAUUGAAAAAUGGAUUUUGGUUCUUGUAAUCAAUAUCCUGAAUUUUUUUUUUUUUCACUUUUAUAGGAUUGGUCGUUUUUUUGUCUAAUUUAUUGCUCAAAAUUUCUAAUUUUGGAGAAUGAAAUCAUGAUUCUGGUGUCUCUUAAUCAAUACCCUAAAAAGGUUUCAUUUUUAUUGGAUUGGUUAUUGAUUUAUCUAAUUAAGCUCUUCGUUUUAGGGAUUGGUCGGAAGGGGUCAGUUUUUGAUUUGUCUAAUUAAGCUCUAAUUAAAUCGCAAAAGUUACUUUUUUAUUGUGGAUUUAUUUGUAUAAAAUUUCUAUGGGUCAGUUUGUGAAGUGUUUUCUGUCUUUUGAUUACCUAUGUGUUCAUUAAAAAAAAAAAAAAAAAAAAAAAAGGCUGAACCGCCCCAUCUCCCCGCCCCUAGAUGUGAGGUGGUUGUUUGAAACUGAACACAUUUUGAAUACUGCAAUGUGUUUCUUUGAUAGAUUGGGGAAUCUGCAAAAGGACUAGGUGCUUCAAGUGAGGAAUAUAAGCUUCCAUCUC
rnacentral:lncRNA from 1 species